GUGGGUGUAGCUCCGUGGUAAAGCGCAUGUUUCCCAUGCAUAAGGCCCCAGGUUCAACUCCUAGCACCUCCA
rnacentral:tRNA from 1 species